UUGGGAAUUCUGGGGAGAAAUCCAGGGUCAAAUUCCAUGUUUUUUGGGCUGUGCAAUGCUGGAAUUCCGUGGAUUUUUUAAAAGUGUUUUUCCCAGUGGAAAUUCUGUGGUUUUGAUUUGUUAUCCCAAAGAUUUUGGGAUUGGGUGGAAAAAUCCUGGUGGGGAUUUUGGAGAGGGGAAAAAAAAAGGGAAAAGAGGAAAAAAAUGGGAGGGGAAAAAGGAGGAAAAAUAGGGGAAAGGGGAAAAAAGGAGGAAAAUGGAGGAAAAAAGGGGGAAAAGGAAAAUGGAGGAAAAAUGACNAUGGGAGGGGAAAAAGGAGGAAAAAUAGGGGCAAGGGGAAAAAAGGAGGAAAAUGGAGAAAAAGGGGGGGAAAAGGAAAAUGCAGGAAAUAUGACANAAAAAAAAAAGAGGAAAAUUAGGGGAAGAGGAGGAAAAAAUGAGAGAAAAAAGGGGAAAAACCAGGAGGAAAAUGAGAGAAAAAAGGAGGAAAAUGAGGGAAAAGAGAAAAGGAAGAAAAUGAGGGAAAAAAAUGGAGGAAGAGGGGAGGAAAAAAGGGGGGAAAAGAGAAAAAUAAGGAGAAAGAGAAAAUGA
rnacentral:lncRNA from 12 species